rnacentral:lncRNA from 1 species
AGUCUAGAAAUUACAAAUGUUUUGUGGCCAACACGAAACUUAUCUGUGAGUCAUUGCCUGGGGGGCUUACUUGGACAAGGGCUGAGAGAAUUACCAGUAGCUUGAACAGCUUAAGGGCGGGACCAAGUACAGAAUGAAGCUCAGACUCUGAAGAAUUUGCACUACUAAGGUGUGUACACAACAUGAAGGUGGCCAUCUGCAAGCCAAAAAGAGAGCCUUUACCAGAACCUGACCAUUGCUGGCACCCCAAUCCUGGAUGAUCCAGCCUCUAGA